CUCCCCUCUGUAGUUUAUCCAUCCGUGUUUGGAGAGAAUGGGAUCUUCYUCCUCACAGUCAUAUACAGGUAUCUACUUCUUCRAGGAAUACGUGUAGAUUCAGUCUUUACUAAGCUGAUGUUGUCCUGACUCAAAAAAGGCUGCUGGGGAGUAAAAAUAGAUCUAUGAAUUUGGGAAAUUGCAGCAUAACUGAUGACUUUCCAAGGCUGUUGUUAAAUAGUACUUUUUUUUCAGCUCAGCRUGUUAAUUUUCAUCUUUCUGAUAGAAAGCUGUUAUACUUGUAUGAACAUUUACUUGCAUCUUAUGUCUUAAUUCUUAAGUAGGAAUAUGCCUCUGGCUAUGUAGAGUUUGUCACUUGCAGUAUUAAUGGAUAAAUUAACACAUUUUAAGCAACURUAUUUUCUAUUCAUUUCUUGUUGCACGAGAACCUGUUCCUGCUGCUGUCACUGCACAUACCGCAGUCGCUACCUCUACUGUCACUGCACCUAGCGCUGUCUACACCUCUCCUGCUGACUCACGAGCUUCAGAUGUCCARUGCUUUAUAGAUAAGUAAAUAUUACACCUUUAUUUCCUGAGUUUAAAUGUAAGUGYGCCUUGAGAUUGCAGACUGCUCUCAGGGCAGGGUGUUGUGUGUCAGGUUUUUUAAAAAUUGCUCAGGAUUUCCUGCUCUAUGCAUUAGAUGCUUAAUUCACAUUGAUACUUCACAAACACCUUGUUGUCYUAUGUACUUUGGGAUAAAUGAUAUAUUAUGUUCCAUAAUGUUUGAUGGAUAUCAAAAUUAGAGUUUAUUUAGCCUUUUUUUUUAAAGUAAUGGUGUUUCUGACACUCUUUUCUGUGUAUUAGCAGCCCUGAAAUCAUCUACAUGUUGCUAGCCUAUAUCUCUGGCAUCCUGUCAAGUGCUUUCUUUUUUGCAGUUGUCUACCUUAUCAGAAAAAGGCGUAAGAGACCUCAAGAAAACUUCCAGGAGCAAGCUCACCCUCAGGAGGCCUGUGAGACGUUUGUUGGGAACAGCCAGCCCCAGGAUGAGGUUACCUAUGCCACUCUGGUCCUCCAGCAAGCUGUGGCCCCAGGCACUGUAUGAUGAUGUGCACAGCUUCUGCUGGAAUGGGGACGCCUUCACACUCUGCAAGUGCCGUGCUCUUGGAGUUGUAUCAAAUCAUGUCCUGCUUUAAGGAAUGCUGCCAACAUUGCAGUAUGUAACAUCAGCUAGCUUUGCAGUUAGGAGGGAGAGUUAAGGCCUUCCCUUCCAGCUGCUCCCCAACACUUGUGGACAAAUAAUUUGAUUUUUACAGAUUACUUCMUCUGUAGAAAUGUCUGAGAGUUCUUGCAAUACACUUUUGUUGUUUCCUUUUUUUUUUUUUUUGCUAUUGCUUUCAAACAGAGCUAAAGCAAGUAUUUUUUUCCUAUUUGUACUUCUCUGUGCAUAAGUACGUUUGUGCCUAUAUACAUUUGUACGUAUGUUUCUCUGUUUGRUUACUGGCUACAGGUGACUUUUCUUGCUUUUUUUGACUGCCAAGUGCUCUGUGCUCUGUUUAACCUUUCUGCUCAGUGAAGUGAUGAUAAUAAAAUCUCUUCAUGCAAAUUUGUUUCCUGAGUGGAUCACAAGAAUAAACUUCCUAACUUUGUCGCCUUUAAAGCGUCAUUACAUGCUGAAAUGCAUGAUCAUAUUGUUACAGUCAAAACUUGUGGAAAUGAUGGUUUGGAUCACUCUAAGUAUUUUGGAAAUUUUAAAUUGCCUUCUUUUCAGAGGAUAGG